rnacentral:rRNA from 1 species
AUGCCUGGGAAAUUGCCCUGAUGUGGGGGAUAACCAUUGGAAACGAUGGCUAAUACCGCAUAAUGCCUUCGGGCCAAAGAGGGGGACCUUCGGGCCUCUCGCGUCAGGAUAUGCCCAGGUGGGAUUAGCUAGUUGGUGAGGUAAAGGCUCACCAAGGCGACGAUCCCUAACUGGUCUGAGAGGAUGAUCAGCCACACUGGAACUGAGACACGGUCCAGACUCCUACGGGAGGCAGCAGUGGGGAAUAUUGCACAAUGGGCGCAAGCCUGAUGCAGCCAUGCCGCGUGUAUGAAGAAGGCCUUCGGGUUGUAAAGUACUUUCAGCAGUGAGGAAGGUUCAUACGUUAAUAGCGUAUGGAUUUGACGUUAGCUGCAGAAGAAGCACCGGCUAACUCCGUGCCAGCAGCCGCGGUAAUACGGAGGGUGCGAGCGUUAAUCCGGAAUUACUGGGCCGUAAAGCGCAUG